rnacentral:rRNA from 1 species
AUAGGUACUUGCACCUAAUGGCAAGUGGCGAACGGGUGAGUAAUGCAUCGGAACAUGCCCAAUCGUAAAAAUAACGCAGCAAAAGCUGUACUAAUACCGCAUACGAUCUACGAAUGAAAGCGGGGGACCUUCGGGCCUCGCGCGAUUGGAGCGGCCGAUGUUAGAUUAGGUAGUUGGUGGGAUAAAGGCUCACCAAGCCGACGAUCUAUAGCUGGUCUGAGAGGACGACCAGCCACACUGGAACUGAGACACGGUCCAGACUCC